rnacentral:lncRNA from 1 species
CACAUGCGGUGCCACUUGGCUGCGUUUCCCACACGUUCAGGAUGAUUUCUGUGGCAAACCUUCCCAGUGAGUGGAAGGGAACCAGACGCCCUACCCCCACUCUUGGGAACCUGUGAUGAUGGGGCAAGUAAGCUCCGGGGUGGAGAGUAGAUCUACUUCACAGCCUUGGAUUUAUUUGAAAACUGGAAAUCACGGUGCUGAUGUAACCAGGGGAACGCAUCCAGUGUCCCAGGGCCUGGCCUCUCAUCCGUGAGUCUACACAACCAACUAAAGAUGUAAACUCCUUGAAGAAACUGGAAUAGAUCAGGACUCCUGUCUCCAGUCCCACACUGCCCUCACUGGAUUUUGUAUGAGAAAUCAGCUCUCCUGGGUCACCGAGGAACACCAAGUCUCCCUCUUCCAUCAUGUGACUCUGAAGAAUCCAUUACUGUCCCUUAAACCAAGAAGCCCCAGAGUAUCCGAAUGUCAAGAGUGGAACAAAACAGAAACAAUAAUCUGGGGGUGGAGGCCCAGUCCCAGCUCCAACUUAAAUGAAAGGAGAAUGGAAAAAUUGUGAUGGUGUCCAGCUUGGAAACUACAAGUGGAAAAGCUCUGCAAGCUGAUGAUAAGAGUCAACAAAGAACACCACAGACUACUUUCCCUGAUGGAAAUAAAUGCAAAACUUUUAAUAAAAUAUGUGCA